rnacentral:lncRNA from 1 species
UUCCGUCUCCUUCCGAUUCCCGACCUCCGACUGUCUUCCCCCUUUUACUCCUCUUUCCAUCUCCACCUCCGCCGCCGCUGCUUCCCGUUUCCUCCUCCGCUGCGUUGCUCCGCUCCUUUCUCUUAACUUUCCUCUUCCCUCUUCCGCUCCCCCUCCACUUUCCUCUGCCGCAGUCCGCACUCCACCAUUUGUCAGGUAAAAAGCGAUCGUGUAUCAUUGCUUUCUUCCUUUUUUUUUUUUUUUACUCUUUUUCCUUCUUAUGAAUGUUUUGUGGGUUUAGUUUUAACUUCCUAUUAUUUUAUGUUCCCCCCUUAAUUUCAGCUAUUUUGCCAUUAUUUCUCAUAUGCCAUAAGUCUAAAUGCUUCUAUUCCGCAACCAUCUUUUAUACCGUUGUUCCAUUUUGUCUUGUUAAUGUGUCUUCUUUUAAUUUCAUCAUUAGGUGUUUUAUUUUCGUAUUGGAUUUUUUUUCUUCGGUGGGUGCAAGCGAAGUAUUUUAGCAUCAAGUUUCAUUCCGUCUCUUUUGCUUUGAUUAAGGGAUCUCACUUUACCACCUCUUUCUUCCUGAUGCCAUG